CGGAAGUGAACGGACUGUUUUUACCCGAUCCGAGAUAUAGAUAAAAGAGAUCAAAUCGGCCGAGUGUUAUGAAUUGAAUGCGUUUAUUGUCGGUUGCACAUUACAUUUAAGAUGGAGACAAAUCUAACAUCAGGAGCGAAGCUACUUUUUUUGGUGUCUAGAAGCUUCUGCUGGUGCUGAGAUGAGCAGUCCUCAGAGGUGUCCAGGAGAACUGCAGGAGGAAUCUAAUGGGGCAAAGCGUGUGUGCCUCAGGGCUCAACACGAGAACCUCACUAGAGAGCCCAAAGCUGCCACUCUGGAGUGUCCCUCUGUCAACAUGGAGUCCAGAGAUGCCUUUAGUAAGGGUGAACGUACUACUGUAGGAUCCUCAGCUGCCAGUCUGAGGUCUACAGGUGUCACUAAGGAGGCUUUUGUUGCCACCGUGGAGUCUAAAGGUGCCAUGAUGGAGUCCUCUGUUGUAGCUGCCAUUUUGGAGGAUAAAAGUGCCACUUCGGGGGUGGAAGGUGCCACUUUGGGGUCUAACACGACUUUAGGGUCUGACAGUGUGGCUUUGGAGACUAACAAUACCACUUUGGCGUCUAAUGAUGCCACUUUUGGGUCUAAUGAUGCCACUUUGGAGUCUAAUGAUCUCCCUUUGGGGUCUAAUGAUGCCACUUUGGAGUUUAUUGAUGGGACUUUGAGGUCUUCCAGUGCUUCUAUGAAAUAUACUGGUGCCUGUGAGACAGUAGGAGGCAGCAACGUUCAAGUGUCUGUGAUCAUACCGGUGUAUAACGGUGCUCAAUGGCUGGAUGAAUGCCUUCAGGCCGUUUUAGAUCAGGACUUCCGGGGCACUUUGGAGAUCUCUGUGUUCGACGAUGCCAGUACGGAUAACUCCAGAGUGAUUGCUGAAAGCUGGAGAGAGAGACUGAGGAUGAGAGGUGUUACCAUGGUGAUAUCAGGCCAUAACAGAGACAGACCAAGAGGAGUUGGAUUUGCCAAAAACAAAGCUGUGGCUCAAAGCUCUGGACGAUACCUGUGCUUCCAGGAUGUGGAUGACGUCAUGCUGCCCCAGAGAGUAAGACUGCAGUAUGAAGCUGCUGUACUGAACCCCGAUACUAUUGUUGGUUGUCAGGUGAGGCGUGUUCCAGAAGGUUCUACUGAGCGCUACACCAGGUGGAUUAACACACUCAGUCCAGAGCAACUACUUACACAGGUCUACACCUCUCACGGGCCAACGGUCGUCAUGCCAACAUGGUUCUGCUCACGCUGCUGGUUCCAGAAAGUCGGCCCUUUUGACGAAGGAGGCAAGGGGGUUCCGGAGGACUUGUUGUGGUUCUACCAGAGUCUUCGCCGGGGAGGGGGAGUGAUCCGAGUGGACGAGUGUCUUCUGAUUUAUCGCUACCAUGAGCAUGCAGCAACACACUCUGUGCUAGAGGAAACCAUCUGGAAACUCCGAGUGGACUUCCUGGAGGAGAGAGUGCUGGGACAAUGGGAUUCAUUCACCGUGUGGAAUGCUGGGAAACAGGGACGGAAACUGUACCGCAGCCUGGCAUCCACCAAUCAGAAGAAGGUGAAAGCAUUCUGCGAUGUAGACGAGAACAAAAUUAAAAAGGGCUUCUACACAUACGAGGAAUCAAAGGAACGUCCGAAACCCAGAAUCCCUGUGCUGCACUACAGAGACUCAUCACCUCCAUUUAUAGUGUGUGUUAAACUGGAUAUGACGGGCGGUGUGUUAGAGGAGACCCUGCUCUCUCUUGGUUUAAAGGAGGGAGUGGAAUAUUAUCACUUCAACUGACUGAUGAACAGAUGAUGGAGAGAAAGAAUAAGUGAAGGUGUGACUGAUGAAGAUUGAAUGACUGACAAAAGGAAAAGAGAUGGAGAGAAGAGAGAGGGAAAUGGGACGUGUGUGUGAGCUCAGUGUUACUAGUGUUGAAAGACAGGAGUGUGGCCUUCGUGGGUAGGACACAGACAGAGGAAUGCGUAUGUUGUGUUAAGACAUUAUCUGAGGUCAGCAGCCACGUUCCUCACUGUGUGUGUGUGUGUGUGUGUGUGUGUGUGUGUUCACCAUGUGGAGAACUUAGGAAGCUGUUUGCUCUUUGCAGUGUUAAUUCAACUGCAAUAUUAUUAAAUCAAAUUUUUAUUGAAUAUUUAUUGUGUGGUGUGUGAGCACGUGUGUGUGUGUGUGUGUGUGUGUGUGUGUGUGUGUGUGUGUGUUGUGUUUGCUCUUUGCAGCAUUUCACUAAAUUGUGUCAUGUGGUGGAAUGUGGUGACUCGGUUACGUCGCUGCUCCUUGCGCCAUUUUCUCACGGGAAAAAUUCAGCACCACCUGCUCCCGAGCUUUCGCACACAUACACACACUCCGAGAGACAGAGUGCUCAGGCGAGUGUGUGUCGGGUUAUCAAAUUAAAACAUGGAAACAGCCCAAAUCCUCUCUCCAGUAGCUGUGAUGAUGUUUAGACCCAGAAGUGGUCCUCGAGUCCUGCUGCGUUUCAGUCUGAUGUCUUUCAUCACGUACACAACUUCUUCUUUCUCCACGUACACAAGUGUAUUUAUUUAUUUACUUUUGCUUGUUUAUGUUUAUAAGGUACUCGUUAAUUAAGUAAUAUAAAGCUUGAUCUUUUAUAAGAGCCAAUAAAUAUACAGUAUUAACUUA